rnacentral:lncRNA from 1 species
GAGCAAGUUCACGCCUGUUCAGAGGUUGUUCUCAUCAGUCUCUUUAUCAUUCUUUAAUGUCUUGACCAUGGAAAAGGUGAAUUAGAGGACCCUUCAGUUCCCAUCUGUAAUGCAUGAACUCACAUACUAACAGAUUUCUUAAGACCUAACCAAUCCUUUAGUUUUCCUAUUGUCAUUGCUGUCCUGUCAUUUUGACAGUAAGUUGCUGUGUUUAUUUAUCUUUCUAAGAUGAGCUACAUGGGCGACAGCGACAAUGUUUCAGGAGAGGGCAGGGAGAAGGGAGGUAGGAAAGUUUUUCAAUCCUGCCCUUACACCUUUGAAAUUUAUUCUAGUAACUUUUCAAAGCCCCAUUUGCUCCUUGUCUACCUUGCCUUGUAAAGUUUUCUGUCAAAGAAAUGAGAAUGAGAAACUGAUUAAUUCCAGCCAUAAGCUAUCAUAUAGUUUUAGAAGACUACCCUUGGCUCAGGUGACUGUAGAAGUUGUAUCUACGCUCUGUUGCCCCUUGAGUAGGACCCAAACGCUUUAGGAUGAUACCUAGGAAGCUAGGUACCAAAGCUUUUCAUACACAUUUUAAGUCCAGGCUUAGCAGCUUCAGUCACCCUCCUGCCUCUCUCUCCUCUCGGUUCCCAGACAUACAGAGCUCAGUCAAGGAUAGGUGCUGUUUCCCUAAUAAGAUGUGGAAGCUCCCUGCUUCUGUCAAGAGCUCCCUCUCCUUGGAUUGCUUCUACUCUUCAUUGUGCAUGAUUUCUAUUCAUCUCUUUCAUCAAUCAAAGUUGCUUAAAUUGUUCAACAUUGCUCAAAAAUAAAGCCAACCUUUUGAGAAUAUUUUCUUCAAGAAGUCAGCAUUUAAAGAAAUACCUAUGGCAGCAAACUUUAUGACAAUUAGAAAAAAAAUAGGAUAAUAUUUAGAGUUCCUAGUCAGAGAUUUGCAUAUUACAGCCAAGGAAACCUAGUUAUGGAGGAAAAGGUAUUCUCCAAAGCUACAUAGUUCUAAAUUAAAGGAACACGAGGUUUUUUUGUUUUGUUUUGUUUUGUUUUUUUGUUUUGUUUUGUUUCUCAUGUGAGUCUCUGCAGUGAUGGUUAUAGCAGCUUUUGAUUCAGACAGUUCUCAAUCUGACCUUGGGAAACCUGUUACCCUCUCUGCAAUUAUAUUUAAAACUGAGGAUAAAAAUACAUGACCCAGAGAAGUUUCCAUCUCCUGUUAAGUCUAUAUACCAUGUAUCCUUGCUUGCAGAGACACAUGGAGCUGUUGGUAGAGCAGAAAGUCAUGGUUCAUCAUGGGCAGCAGAGGUAGACUUAUUGAGUAGUGCUAUUUUAAGUGCACUGUCAGGUCCUGGUUAUUUGGAGCUAGUUAAUUAACUGAUGUGUAUUUAUUUUCUCCCUGAGAAAUUGAAAUGAUUAGCUUGUUUAAGGCACUUUACCAUGUUUGAACAGAAAUUUCCCUCGCAGACUUUAAAUACAACAGUGUAAAACAAAGCAAAACUGCCUGUAUGACAGAAGCUCUCUUCUCACAGGACACACAGUCAGCAGAUGGACUAAUGACCCCAGACUUAUGUAGCACCCAAAUCUUAGUGUUUACCUUACCCUCUUAAAUGUUAUUCCUAUAAACAUGGCAGGGUGAGUUCCUUCUGUGUGCCAAGUUCUGACUGAAAACUCAUGUACUUUGGUAUUAACUCUACCAUCAUUUCAUUUCAUAUUCUCUUCUCCACACCGUUAUUUGAAAUCUUUAGUUCUUGUGGCUUGACAGGCUUCGUAUUUUACUUCUUUCCUUCUUGCUGGUUUGUGGUUGUUUAUGUACCAAAAUUCUAGAGGGAAACUGUUGACAUAUCUGUGCACAUAUGUGCACACAGCUCAUCUUAUAUGCACACAUAUAUUAGAUACACUUUUAUAUACUAUAUAUAAGAUAAGUUUGCAUAAUUUAUGGACAAUGAUUAUAUUAAUAAUGAUAAUUAAUAACUAUACUAUCUAGCAUAAUGGCCUGUAGUGAUGUAUGGGAUUGAGCACAGUAGAAUAGACUCAAUUCAUAGUUAGAAGGACAGGGCUGCUGUUUUGAAACAGCUAGCCAAGCCACAAAGAGUCAUGCUGGACCAGAAGCAUAAAUGAAGUGAAAAAAGCCAGUCCAGCUUUCUAGACCAAAAGAUGGCAUGUGCCAGGGGGGUCAAGGGUGCCCUCCGUCUGGGAUGCUCUGCUAAUGGCAAGGGCAUCUUGCAAAUGAAACAGAGAAGACAGAGACAAGAGGGAAAAAACAACAAUAACAAAUAAACAAAAAAUACAGAGAGUUCAAAUCAUCUAUGGACUUUGAUUUGAGAAGAUAGCCUACCAAACAGAGGGGUAGGAGCUACUGAGAGGUUCUCUGGGGAUUCAGUGCAAGAGAUUUAUCACAUCGCUAUCACAGUGAAGGUAUAUAUGAUGGUAACUGAGGGAGAAAAGAGCAUGCCAUUGUCUUCUUAGCUAUGUGAUUAGUAACCAUCACAGCAAACACAAAGAUUUCCAACAGGAUUCAGGAUAAGAAGGAGCUGUACAAAGUUCUACUUAGGGAGUGUCCACAGAUGAAUAAUGAGACAGUUUAUAAUCUCACUGUAUAAACUGUGAACUGAGCAUGGUAGCAUCCGCACAUAAUCUGAAUAUACAUAAUAUAUGUGUCCAUUACCCCAGGUUGUGAAAUUUUACUCACUUUAAAUUACUUUAAAUGCUCAUUCAUUGAAAUGAUUUCUUGCCAUGGGUACUACAUUGUAACCUGUUGUUUGAGCUUAUAAACACACUAAUAAACUAGAAGUCUGGCCAUACUCUACCUCUUCAAAAGGAACUGCCUUAGAGCAAAUGUUUUGCAGAGCUUGACCACCUAUAUCUGUUGUGUAUAUUUUAUAUGUUCACUAAGCAAGAAGACAGGGAUGAAUAUAAAAUGUAUGCUUUAGCAUAUAUAUGUAUGUAUAUAUAUACAUAUAUAUAAUUUCUUAUUAAUUUCUAUAUUUCCCGCAUUUUCUGUUUUCAAUAAAGAUAAUGGCAUCUUGAAGAGAAAUGUCUCUACUCACUUAGUAUUCCUCUGCAAGGUGACCAGACCUUCUUUAUUACCACAAAGCUUCCAAAAACAGAAACCACUUCCCUGGGAGUUUUUAGAUCAGAGGCCAUGCCUGUGCAUCAUUUAAUUCUUGUAUACCAGUGAACAUAAUGCACCUAGAAGAUGUUGUGAAAGAAAAAACAUAUACUGCAUUUAGGUUCAAUAUGUGUUACAGAAAGAUGGAAAAGAACUCUGCACGUAGUAGAGACUAUGUAGGUUUUUAAUUAUGAUCCUAGGCCAAAGCAAUUGGGCAGACUGCCUACUAUACGUUAUAAAUUAAUUCCAUUCCUUAUUUCCCUACUUCAAUUUUGGCUGGCCUAAUUAAUGGCUGUUAUAUAAUUCAGGCUUUGAGAACCUCCCUGCAAGGCCCCUAAUCACCUGGCGCAGAGGCCCAGUGCAGACAAUUGCCUAGGCCUCCCAGAGUCUGACUUAGACAGACUUGGGCCUCUGAUUUAUGGGCCAGCCCUCCUGAAGAAGAAUGCAUAGCCAAGACAAAGCUCAGCCUCAGACAGAUUGUGUGCCUAGGCCCUCCAGUGUGUUGCCUGAGAGCUGUCACCAGAGAGCUGAGUUUCUGGAGUGACACUAAGUCACCAUGCCCAGCCUUCCUCAGCCUCUGGGGUUCCACUUACCCUGUGCUCUAGGUUCUUCUCUGGGUUAAGAGUGAUAGUAGCUACCACAGCUAGGUCCUCAGCUGAUCCAUGAGUCAAACAGACAAGUAACUGAGUCCCUCUUGCUUUCAGGAAACUGCCUGCUCAGCUUUGUGGAAAUGGAAAGUAAUUAACUUGAUUUAGUACUCAUUUCAAAUGAAAAAGUUACACAUUCUAUCUGACUUCUUCAUUUUAGUUCAUGUAGUAAUGUGUAGAAACUAUUUGGAAAGAAUUAGGUGUUAAAAAACUAAUAACACCCUUCCUGACUUCAAGGUAAAUUUACAUAUGGCCUAGAAAUUAAUUUAUCAUCUUCUCCAAGACUCGGGACAUAAAAAUUCAGCUGGAAAUACAUAGUCCAGCUGCAGGAGGCACACAAGGUCUUCAUUCCUCAUAAGACACAGAUUUGAGCAGUUCAUACUCUAGAAUGAGCUUUGGGCCUGGCCAGAUGGAGCCACUGAAAAUUUCCUUUAUGCAUGCUUCAUACUUCUCAUUCCUAUUGCUCUGUUUACAGCCUUCCAGAUGGUUUUGUGUUUUGAGAAUCCACUGAUGUGCAUGCUGCUGGGUUAAAGGCUUGGGCAUGAACCAAGUCACAAAAUAAAAUUUAAUCCAGUAUAACAGUCAAGAUAAUACCUAAGUCCAAAUUGAUAUUGGAGAUGUGUCUUAUGGACCACUACAUGGUCCGGUAGAACUGGAAUAUUUUCCCAUUAGUUCAGGGUAUCAAUUGAGUAAUGAAAGGUAUAAUUUAGAAUUAUAUUUUAUAUUAUAUUUAUAUUUUAAGGUUUAAUAUAUGUUUCUGCAAGUAAAAUUGACUUCUCUAUUCGACUCUUGAUUUAAUCUUUUGCCUUACAGAUAUGGAAAAGAAAGGAAAUGGUUUUAAUUAAAGGAAAGGGAGAGGAGGAGGAAAUGGGGAGGAGAGAAGUAUAUUCAGGGGUUUAAGAACCAGAAAACACUUUUAUCUUUAAGUAUGAAGACAUAAUUCUCUGUCCUAGAAAUAAUCCAUUAAGCAAACGUGCUCUUCAGAAGGAAAGACACAAAAUAGACAUUGAUAUUUUGUGACAGUUUGAGAUCAAAUGUAUUUGCCUAUGGCUCUCUGGGUGAGGCAAGGGAGGCUGGGGCUAGAGAUGCUAGCAUUCCAUGGGGCAAUGCUGUGAUGACAUUGAUUUAAAGCAAUUCUGAAGUUUCAGAUUUUUAAGUGUAUUUGUGAAGCAAAAGAGAAUGCCAUUUGAGGUGAGGAAGAAAUACAUUCUGCCACAAGAAACACAAAACUCUCUACCUUCUACCUCUGAGCCGAGCUAACAGAAAUAAAUAUGUAAGAGGACUUUGAAUGUGGAAUGAAUCUGAUAAAAUACCACACAGACUAACCCAUGAAUUUCACCAAGCUCCACUGGGACAGCAGGUUCAAGACCAUCAAAGCAAUGGCUCUAGAUUAUGCAGACACCUCUCAUACCUGGUCAAUUUUUGUGGUAUUUUAUGUAUUUUAUUUUUACGUUGUCUACGUCUUAAUUUCUUCUUUCAUG